rnacentral:rRNA from 1 species
UACAGAGGUCUCAAGCGUUGUUCGGAUUCAUUGGGCGUAAAGGGUGCGUAGGUGGCGCUGUAAGUCAGGUGUGAAAUUUCGGAGCUUAACUCCGAAACUGCAUUUGAUACUGCGGUGCUUGAGGACUGGAGAGGAGACUGGAAUUACGGUGUAGCAGUGAAAUGCGUAGAGAUCGGGAGGAACAUCAGUUGCGAAGGCGGCUCUCUGGACCAGCACUGACACUGAGGCACGAAAGCGUGGGGAGCAAACAGGAAUUAGA